GGAGGAGUGGCCGAGUGGUUGAAGGCGAUCGUCUCGAAAACGAUUAUACCUUAACGGGUAUCGGGGGUUCGAAUCCUCCCUCCUCCG
rnacentral:tRNA from 6 species